rnacentral:lncRNA from 1 species
GAAUAAGGAGUUGAGGGGACAUGUUCCCAACUAACUCCGUCUACUGAAAUAAACUGAAAACUGAAAUAUUGAUAUGAAUAAUAACAUAAUUGAACUCGAAGGAUGAGUACUCACUAUUAAUUACUGCUUCUAGCUGACUCUGAAAUUGCUAAGGGAGCUCUGGAUCCCGUGCAUCCAAACCUAUGGUGUAAGACACCAUAGCGUGAGAAAAGUAUGCAUUAGUACUUUGAAUGUACUAGUAUGCAAGUGAGGUAGGGUGAAUGCAUGGGGUUCAUAUGUAUAAACAAUACUGACUAACAUGAACGUGAGAAUACAUGCAUGAAUACAUAAUAACUGUAACUGAAACUGUACUAGUACUGGAUACUGAAUUCUGUGUACUGAUUUACUGACAUCUGAGUUUACUGAAUAAAGAGGAACUGAUGUUAUAUUAAUGAUAAAGAAAAUCACUGUUUCUGAUAGUUCUGAUUAUGAAGAAUUGAUCUGAUUAACCGUAUAUAACAGUCCUAAAACUGAGUUCGUGAUAACAUGACUACCGAGUAUGAAUACUGAUGACAUGUAUUUACUGAUAACAUAUCAUUACUGAUAACUGAAUUCUGAUAACUGAUAACAUGAGUUCUGAUAACUGAUAGCAUGAAUGACUAUAUCUGACAGUCCUGGAUCUGAUGGAACUAGUUGAGUUGCGUACUGUAUCUGAGUUGCCUGUAUCUGUCAGUCCUGAUAUCCUGAAGAACUAUCUAAGUUCUUUUACUGAGACUGAUACUAAAACUGUGGGAAGUAGUUAUCUAACCGACAUGCCCCAAAUACGCUAUAAUAGCUAAGCUGGGGUCCAAUCUUUGCCCUGAUUGGAAGGGUGUCAAUACUGCGCCCCUAGUAAGGACAAGCUGUGAGUGACCCUCAUCUGGCAGAUACUCUAAUGAGAACGGUGGGAAACCUCAUCUGACAGGUCAAGCCACCUCAUCUACCCUAAACUGACAGGUAUUGAUGUCUCAACCUAUGAAGGCUACAUAGUUCUGGAAUGCAAGGACUGCUUCUAAGAAUCACACCCUGUACUGGCACGUGAGAUCCCAUCCUUGGGUUCGCUAGGCACUGAAUCCUACUGCCAACUGAAUGACAUUGAACUGAUUAUACUGAACUGAUUUCCUAGUUCAUACUAGAAUUAACUCAACUGUUACUGAUUGUUCUGUUUAACUGAACUGAACAUGGACUGAUUUUAUAGAGUUUCGAUUACUAGCGAAACACUACUGAAUUCUGUUAACUGACUAAAUGCUACUGAGUUUUAUUAGCUGAUUGAGUUUACUGAUGUCUGAACUUAACACAGAACUAAACUGUACUGAUACUGAGAUUUACUGAAUUCCAUAGACUGGCGGAAUAUUACAGAGAUUAUGUAGAUUACUGAGUACUGAGUAAAUCUGAACUGAUACUGCCUUUUCAUGAGUUUUCCUGAGUCAUGAGACUGACUGAAGUCUACUGAACAUGGCUUGACUGAGAGUAUCGUGAAAACAUGACAUGUCUCUAGGCACCGAGCUAUAUUUUUGGGGUACAAGUACCCCCAGGACUCGAUGGAAGGAAACUGACACAUCAUGAAAAUUCUUGAUCAUAGGACUAAAGAUCCGCAAUUCAUAAUACCAUAAGUUGGGGAUUUCAUGAAAGCACUUGAUAAUUAUAAUCUUGUACAUGAAUAGGAAUGUAUCCUAACAUAUCAUAAUUUCACAAUUUUAAUUUUACUUGCAUGACAUGAACUUGUAUACAUGCUAACAUAAUGUAGUUUCAUUACUUAACUUUCAUGAACCAUUUGUCAAACACCUGCAAGACAUAGCAUCAACAUGGAAAUCAUUUAAAUCAUGUAGUAUUAACAUGAAUUCAUUAUUUAGAUCACCAAUAGAUCACAAGGCACAAUUCAUUCACUUGAACAUUUUCACAAACACAUGAAAGACAUGAUUUUAUACUUAGGCAUGUAUAACAUGCUCCCAAUUCAUGACCAUAACCACCAAUUCACAUCUCAAGGUUUUCAAUAUAUGAUGGUCAUGAUUCAACACACAUGGGAAGCAUAGAUAUUUCAUUCAUCAAUUAACAUAUAUCAAUAUUAUGGGUAUAACAUCCAACUUGCAAAUUCCAAGAACUCAACAUAAAUCUCAUAUGAAUUAUACCACAAAUUAAUUAGUUUUCAUGAUUCUUGAAAUAAAUCAUGGAAUUAAAACUCAAUUUAACAUCAACAACAUGAUUAUAAACAUCCCACAACAAAAUAUUCAUGAUACAUAACUUAAAACUUGAUUCUUGAGCUCCAUGGAUGAAAAGAAUCCAUGAAUGAACACUAUUCAUACCUUAGAUGAAUUAUCCGUGACAGUUAACGGUGAAAUUGGCUUGAAUCUUGAAACCCUCAAUUGAACCCUUACUUGUUCUUGAUAAUUUUUGAGAGAAUUUGAGAAAAAAGGAGUAUAUUCUGCUCUAAAUUAGGCUUAAUGCCGUGUUUGAGCAUAUAUAUAGGAUGGGCAAAAGACUAAAAUACCCCUAGAGAAAGAGAGAAAGACACAACUGUCCUAUCUUAUUUCCAAGCUGAUAGGCUGAAGUAAAUUGAUUAUAACUCUUUGCUCCGAUGUUUAAAUUGGAUGAAACCAAUUGCAUUCGAAAGAGGACUCAAAGAUCUUUUCAUAUAUAUUUAGCAGCUCUUACAAUUCAAAAUAUUCAAGAAGUGAUGAUCGUUUUAAAUUAACCCUGAAAGGCUGAAAAUUUUUGGAGCAUGCUAUAGAGCAUGCGAAGCAUGCAAAUGGCACGGUGCUUCUGUUUUGAAAUCGAAAAAUUCCCUUAACGGAUUCCAAAAAUUUUGAAACUCAUUUGAGAUGUACUCUUGACUUACCUGAUCACAACGCAACUUGAAAAUCCAAAAACGGAGAUCGAGAAGGUCGUCAAAUAAAUCCCCAAAGUUCGGAGGUAUAAGAUAAAACUAAGUGUUUCUAACACUUAGCAAAAUUCUUAUAAGUGUUAGAUUUCCUUAAUAAGCCUUAAGGAGUUGAAUUUCACUUAAGAUUUUUAUGGGGUCUUACAAUAUCUUCCCCUUAGAAACAUUCGUCCUCGAAUGAGACUUACUAAGAAGGGGAGUAGAGACCAACUGAGGCUUAUACUGAGCAUGAAUGACUGAAACAUGAUUUCAUGACUUACAUGACUGAUAAGCUGAAUUUGUAUCAAACUAAACAUACAUAUCUUAUGCAUGUGUAACUGAUUUAUGAAUGAAGGACUGAGUGUUCUGAUGAACUGGGUUUCUCCAAAUAAGAAUACAUAUCUUGUGUAUAACUAAUAAGCUGAAUUCAUGCAUAUCUGAUGCAUGAUUAUAUGACUGAACCGGCUUGUGAACAUGCGACUUAAUAUGCAAUAGUAAAAGAUGCCAAGUUUAACUAAAACUUGGGCAUGAAACUAAAUACCAAGUUUGGUACUGAAAUCUGAACAUGAGAACGAGUAAGUUUAAGGAAGACUGUUACAUUGAACUUAAAAUACCGAUGAGUCUAAGAUUAAUUACUCAAUAUGCAUGAGCGGAAAUGUGAGGACAUAACUGAGUCUGGAACGUGAUACAUGAAAUGAAUAUUAUGAUAUGAACUGAGCCUGUAAUGCGUGACAUGGAUAGAGUAUCGUGAACUAAACUGAGCCAUUGAGUAGAUAGCUUACGACUGAGAUUUAGAUUUAGAAGGCCAUCUUAUAAGUAACCCUUCCUCUAAGCUGGAUUCAUGACAUAAAGAGAGACCGGUAUGUUUGUGUCAUUACAGCUUGAGGGAUUAGAGUGUAUCUGCCCCUUGGGACACUAUGUCCCUUGAAGAAUGCUGCACUGCCUUUCCUGAAAUAUUGAGGAAAACUAGGGUGAUCCACAAGGCAUGUAGGAACUGAAUCGUGACAUAAUUAUCUAAUAUUUGGUACUGAGGCAUGAUACAUAAACUGGGUUAUACUCGCAACUACUAGGACACUCUAUCUUGGAAUAGUUACAUUCAAGCCUAUCAUUAAUACUGCACCCUUGUAUAAAAUAAUCAUGCAACAAUCUUCUCUUAACAUGAAAUAUUUUCUCUCUCCUAUCUAAGCAACCACUCAUCACUACACUAUUUUCAUAAAGAGAGCUGACUGAAGGGUUAAAUCAGGAGGACCUGAAGCAUGAAUCGAUACAAACUGAACUUGACACAUGACUGAAACCUGAGGAAUAUAAUAUCAACAACAUGAAUUUACAAAAAAGGUAAGAACUGAGGAUAUACAUGACAUAGUCUGAAUUUAUCUGAUCUGUAGGGGCAUAGCAUGAGUCAUGAAAGCUGAGUAUACUAUAAAGCAUGAUAUGUGUACAUGAGUCAUGAGCUGCAUGACCUAAGUUUCGAAUUUUUGUAUUUGUGAGACGUGAUUCAUGACACUGAGUGAUUUAGAUGACUCCCUAUGCUGGGAACUGAAAGCACACAUGAUUCUAUGGAAAACGCGUGAACAUAAGUCGUGUUCAUGAAAUUGAUUCAUACUAUGGGGUAAACUUAGAUCCUUUAUACUGGUAACUGAAACCGUACAUGAUUUAUGGAAAAGUGCAUGAUCGUGGUUCGUGACCUUAGAGUUGAUAUGUAAGACCUAAGUUGAUUUCAUGAUAGCUGAAGUACAAAUCUUUGUACUGAGAAGAGGAUGGGUUGGGAAUCGUCUUGCCUUACUGCAUUUCUAUAAUAAUGAAAAGUUAAGGUAUUUUUUAAAGUAAUUUUUCCUUAAAAAAAUUGAAGUAUAAAGAAGAAUUAUCCACUUUUUAGCAAAAAAUAUUUUAGAAUUUUGAAUUAAAUGUCUCAAAUCUUCAUAUUAAUAAUAUAAAACUUUUACAACAAUAACAAGUUAAUAUAAUGGAAACCAAUAUUGACUUAGCAUUUUAUUAUUUAGAAUUAAUCCUUACUUUUAUUAUAAUAAUCAUAUUAAUAAUAAUAAUAAUAAAAUAUUUAAUGUCUUUUAAUAAUACUAGAAUUUCUAUUAAAAUUUGGAUCUAGCCCACUUAUUUAAUACCCUUGCAACUGAAUGAUCAAAAACAUUUUGCAUACUUGCAAAACAAUGAGCUACAGAAGAACAAAUUAAUCAAGGCUAAAACCGAGCAAAACUAAAUGACUAUAUGCACUCUUUAUAAUCUUUACCCACACACAAAUAAGGGGUAUGAAGGAAGUUAAGUAGCCAACUUAUUUAAUACCCUUGCAACUGAAUGAUCAAAAAUAUUUUGCAUACUUGCAAAAAAUGAGCUACAAAAGAACAAAUUAAUCAAGGCUAAAAACCAGCAAAACUAAAUGACUAUAUACACUCUUUAUACAAAGUAGAUAUAAUCUUUACCCACACAAAUAAGGGGUAUGAAGGAAGUUAAGUAUGAAAGAAAAAAAAUACCAAAAUCCAUCAAAGGAUUCGAAUAUGUGACCAAAAAUUAUGAAAGGAAAAGAAAAAAAACGUAAAAAUCUUAAAUGUCAAUGAAGUUACCAACUAUUCUCUUUCAAUCAAUUUACUGCCAAUUUUUUCUUCGCGGUCCAUCUCUUCCUGCACACAUCUAUUGCCUCCAGCUUCAUUCUUUCGAGUUCUUGAAAGCAUUGUUGAUAUUGUGACUCAAUUGUAGCAAGCUCCAACUUUAACUCGACGUUGUCCAGAUCAUCUUUCUCUACUAACAGUAAAAAUGAACGAUUGCUAAAUAAUCUCAUGCAUUUAGAAUAUUUAUCUGUAUCCAUCAAGGUCACCUCCAGCUUUUUAAAUUCAUUUGAUAAUAUGUAGUCUACAUAAUCACCACCAUUUCGAUGUGACUUACCUUCAUGAUGAAACAAGCCCAUGAACUCUAGCUCUGAUAAGUAUCCACUAGAUCCUUUAGAGAUUAAAUGUGCACCUGUGAAGUAGUUGCCAAAUCCAAAUGAAUUCGAAGAAUCUUUGUGAAAUUCAAGCAUUACAGCUUGAUAAUCCAUGAACAAGGAAGAAGAAAGGAUAGAGUGUAGUUGGGAAUUUUAUUCUUCAUCGUCUGUACAUUACAACAUUGAAGCUAUUUAUAUACUUGAGCUAAGAUAGUGAGCUCAUUUCCAUCUUUGUGACAACUCAUCAUAACUUACUGACAACUUGCCUAACAACCUCUAAUAACUUGCUAUUGCUAACUGACUAACAAUCGAGAAUCUUCCAUAACCUUCCAUCCAAUAGAAAAGUUAGUUUUGUGUGGUUUUGUGCAGUGUGUAUUAUAUCUUGACAUCAUAUUUUGAGUUUGGAUCAAUAGUUAAAGCACGCCUCCUCAAGCUGCAGGGUGCAAUAUAUUCAGCACACCAAGCUUGCCUAAUUAAUGAGCAUGUUGGGCUUAGCUUAGUACCAUGGUAAGAAGGUCACCCACCUGGUCCUGAGUGUGAACAUGUAUAGAUUGUAUCAGUCCACUUUUGGUCUUGUCCCUAAUGAAAUGACAGUUAAUCUCUAUGUGUUUUGUUCUCUCAUGAAUCACAGGAUUGUUGGCCAAUUGAAUUGUUGAAUUGUUGUCACUAAAGACUGAUAUGGGCAAGGUAAUGGAAACCUUGAGUUCCUGGAGCAAACCAACCAACCAAGUUAUCUCUGCAACUNNNNNNNNNNNNNNNNNNNNNNNNNNNNNNNNNNNNNNNNNNNNNNNNNNNNNNNNNNNNNNNNNNNNNNNNNNNNNNNNNNNNNNNNNNNNNNNNNNNNNNNNNNNNNNNNNNNNNNNNNNNNNNNNNNNNNNNNNNNNNNNNNNNNNNNNNNNNNNNNNNNNNNNNNNNNNNNNNNNNNNNNNNNNNNNNNNNNNNNNNNNNNNNNNNNNNNNNNNNNNNNNNNNNNNNNNNNCUCCCAGUGUGAUCUCUUGGGAUGUUGCAUAAACUAGCUGAGAUGUGGACUGCACAACUAAUAUCUGAUCUUUUAAUAGUGGCAUACAUGAGUUUACCCACUAGUGUUUGAUAAGAAGAAGCAUCAGACAAUAAAUUAUCACCUUGUGCACCUGUGGCUUGAUCAUACUCAAGUGAUGUUAACCUUACAUUGGAUUCUAAGAGAGUGAUUUCAGGUUUUGAACCACUAAGACUAGUAUCUGAAAUUAAUUCUAGAAAAUACUUAUUUUUGUUUAAUAUCACCCCUGAAGUAGAAUUGAGGACUUCAAUACCUAAGAAGUAUUUGAGAUUCCCCAAGUCUGUCAUCUUGAAAUGCUGAUGUAACUUGGUUUUUGGUGCAUUAAUCAAUGCUGCAUUGCUUCCAGUAAGGAGUAGGUCAUCAACAUAAACAACAACAACUACUGUGUCAUCACCUUGAUGUAGAAUGAAGAGAGAAUAGUCAUGAGCACUCUGAGUGAAUCCAAUAUCAAGCAAAACAUGAGUCAGUUUCCGGUUUCAUUGUCUAGAAGCCUUGCUGAGUCUAUACAAGGAUUUGAGCAACUUGGAAACUUUGUGCUCUCCUUGGCUUGUGAAACUUUCUGGAAGUUCAAUUUACACUUGAUCUUCAAGAUCCCUUUGUAAAAAUGCAUUAUAGACAUCCAUUUAAUUAAGAGGCCAUCCUCUAGAUACUGCUACAACAAUCACACUCCUGACAGUAACCAUUUUUGCCACUGGUGAAUAUGUUUCAUGAUAAUCUAGCCCUUCUUGUUGGCAAUAUCCCUUGUCCACUAAUCUUUCUUUGAAACUUUCCACUUUACUAUUUGCAAGAUAUUUAAUCUUGUAUAUCCAUUUGGAACCAAUAGUGUUCUUUUCUUUGGGCAAGUCAACAAUGGUCCAUGUGUUAUUGGCCUCCAAUGCUUGGAUUUCUAAAUUCAUAGCUUCCACCCAUCUUUCAUCUUUUAUAGCUUGUUUAAAGUCUUGAGGCUCAGUCAGAGUGGAGAACUUUAACAAGUGCCACUAAUAUGAAGGUCUCAAUUUACUGUAAGACAGGUUGUUGGCUAAGGGGUGCUUGCAUCUUUGGGUUUUUGAAGUGUCAGCAUAAUCAUGCAUCCACACAGGUGGCCUGCUUAUUAUUGUUGGUCUAUUGGAAGAGGGUUAAGGCAGGAAACGGUCAUCUUGACAUGUUUUUUCAUGAGUGGUGUCAGGUGAAACAGCACCAGGUACUGCAACAUUAGAGGAAGCUUAAGUCAGAGAAGGCUCAUCUUAGCAGUCAGCUUCAGUAUUUGCAUCAGAGAAAGGUACAUUAGGUGGUGCAGCAUUAGGAAAAUCAGCAUCAUUAACGUGAAUAUCCUCUAAAGGAAUAUCAGUACCAACUUCAAUAUCUGUGGAUACCAGGAAGUCAUUGAUGUCUUUAUUAGUUUGGGAAGCAUUUGGAUGCUGUAAUUUUGCUUGUGAUGGAUCAAAGGGGAAUGAAUCUUUAUGAAACACAACUUCCCUACUCACUAAUAGUAUUUUUGAGUGGAUGUCCAGUAGCAAGUAACCCUUCUGAGACUGUGAAUAUACUACUAACAUGGCAGGUUUAUCUCUUUUAGAGUACUUUUCACCUUUAGGGACAAUAGUCACAUAACACAGACAUCUAAACACCCACAAAUGAGAUAGCUUGGGAUCCUUGGAGAAUAACAACUGAUAUGGGCUCUUACAACUCAAGACUGAGAUUAGUAACCUGUUCACAAUAUAUACUACAGGUUUCACACAUAAUCCCUAAUACUUGAUGGGCAAGUGGGACUCAAACUUAAGAGCUCUAGCUAUAUUUAAUAUGUGUUUGUGCUUCCUCUCAACCACUCUAUUUUGUUGUGGAGUAUGAGGACAACUAGUCUGAAGUAGAAUACCUGUAUGUGACAUUGAGUAUCAACUCAGUCCCAUUAUCAGAUCUAAUAGCCUUUAUCACCACUCCAAACUGUGUUCUAAUCAUGGAUAUGAAUCUCUUAAUAGCUAAUAUGGUCUCAGAUUUUUGAUUCAACAGAUGAAACCAAGUAUAUCUACUAUAAUCAUCCACCAUAGUCAAGAAAUAACACUUAUUAUCAAAUGUAGAUGUUAUAUAAGGACCCCAUAAAUCCAGGUAUACAAGUUUAAAACAUGCAAAACAUUUAGUAGUACUUAUAGGAAAUAACAUUCUUGUUUGUUUAGCUAGUGGACAUACACUGCAUUUAUUCAACAGAUUUAUAUCACUGUGAUUCGUCAAAAUGUCUAAGUAUCUUAAAACCUGAGAAGUUGGGUUCCCAAGUCUUUGGUGCCACAAUCUGCAACUGGGAACAAUAGCUUCUGUAAUGAAUCUGUUGUGUUUUGGUCCUACAUGAUCAGUAUUAUUGUCGACACACAAUUUUGGCUCUCCUUUUCAUAAAAUUAAUUUCUCGAUGCUUAGAAUUUUUGAAUUUUUUUUCUUUUUUCUUCUUCUAAAUAGUCAACGUUAACAAUUUGAAAAUGAUAUUUUUUUUACUAAUAUCGAACCUCACAAAUUUAAUCAAUAAUAAAUAAAUAAAUAAAUUUUAAAUUAUCAUUUCACAAUUUUAUUUUAUUUUUUAAAAAAUGAAUAAAAAAACAUAUGUUAGUAUAUUAACAUAAUAUUAACUAUAUUAUUAUAUUUUUUUGCAAUAUUUACACUAUAUUUUAUUUAAUUAUAUAGAUAUAUAUAUUUAAAUUUUUGAUAAAAUUAAUAACCAACGAUGAAUUAGUCAAGUUGAAAUGGAUCAACGAGAAUUAAAUAAAUUCAUUGAUCCGAUUCGGCCAAAUUCUUUAAUUAAAUUUAGCCCUUUGAAAUGUAGGAAGACCAGCCCCAAAACUCAUUUUACUAGCCCAAACCAAACUCGUUGGCCCAGCUCACCUUACAACAUCAAAGAACAACAACAUCAGCAAUAUGACCAACACAAUCCUAAAAAGCCUCUCUUCACGUGAAAUUCAACCAAACACACUUCAAUCACGGAAAGUCCACCGAAAAUUUUGACUUUUGAAGAGCCCAUCUUUGAAAAGGAAAACUUUGGUGCUCAUUUUCUUUCUUCCUUUUUUUUCGUUUGAUUUGAAUUUUGAAUUUUGUGAUACAUGAAGAAGUCGUUACAGCCCUUUUUCCCCUAAAAGGGGAGUCUUCUUCACAAUAAAAGGGUGAAAAGAGAUCAAUUCGCCAGGGGCCUGCUAUUUUUUCCUUGUUUAUUUGAAGUUCGAGUCUUUGAGUUGAAGCCCUAGUUCGUUUCUCCACACAAGGUCAGUAAUCGCCUUCAUCUUCACAUUUUUUGUUUUAGUUUUUUUUUUAAAUAAAAUACGAUUAUUUAUAGCUUCUUGUCAUUUAUCUCAACUCUGCCUAUCUGGAUCCGUUUGCUUAUUCUAUUUCUUUUAGGGCUAUGCGUGAAAAUGGUUGACAAGAAUUAAUGUUAUUUAAAUAUUUUAUUUUGGUUAACUCAUCCAAUAUCUAUGUUCUAGUUUCGUAUUUAGAGUUUAUUUGGUGUCCUUGUUGCUGUUGCUCUUAUUUUAGUAAGAUUGCCUCAUUUUAAUCUUGUUUUAUGAAUUAAUUAAUUUUUGGCCUUACUUGGUAUUGUUGUUGUUAUCAUCCUGGGAUUUUAUUUUUAUAUUGCGCAGAUUUUAAAUAUAUCUUCAAUGCUAUCAUCAAUACUAAAUACUCUCUCCGUUUUAUUUUAGUUGGCCCUAUGAACUUAGUACUCCCACUAAGGAAUAAUUAAUAGAAUUUAUUUUUAUCAAAUUAGCCUUAAUAAUUAUGCUUUAAAAAAAAUAUAACUUUGAGUAUUUAUAUUUGUUUAGUCAUUUAAUGAUAUGAGUAGAAUGGAGAAAUAUAUGUAAAAUAAUAUUGAUUUUACAAUUGGGACAAGUAAUGUGAAAAAAAUUAUUUUUUUAAAUAAAAAGAGGGUCAACUAAAAAUAAAAAAUGGAGAAAAUAUUAAUUAUACUCAUGUUAUUUUUUUCGAAAAUUGAUACGUGCGUUACCAGCUAAUUCCGUUUAUGGCACCAGAGGUGCAUGAAAGGAAAGGGCAAAUAGUUGCAUCUUUUUUUUUUAAAAUUAAAAAGGGUGUUGAAAGAAAAAAAAUCAAAUAAUUUCUUUACUUUAUCUUUUUGCAUUAAAAGGGAUGUCAUAUCUUUAUCAAUUAAUUUUAAAGCUUUAUUGAUUUUUUUUUUUUAAAAGGAAAAGUUUUUUUAAAAGUCUUAACUUCUUUCUUUCUUUCUUUUCAUAAGAUAACAAAUGUUGAAUAGCUUUGCGGUAAACUAGUGUUCUUCUUUAUUUGAAAUAUUUAACAAGAAAGGAUUACGCUUAAUUAAAGUACUAUUAUAUUGUUAUAAAACGUUAGGAGAUAUAGGAAAAAUGUUCUAUUAAAAGUUAUGCUAUGAAAGGUUUUUAAAGGAAAGGGUAUUUUAUUUGAUUUUGUCCAAAACUCAUUAUGUUUAUCACUAUGGGAAUACAAUGGAUUCUUUGUUGUUGUUGUUGUUGUUGUUGUUGUGGAGUUUGACAGAUAACAAGUUUGAAUAUUAUGAUAUGAGGUUUUUUUUUAUGAGGUUGGGUCACCUGUUCCUUGACAAGGAUUAAGUGUAUGUUUUCCCCCGAUGAAUUGUUAGAAGUCUUGUUAAUGUACUUUCUUUUUCAUGUUCAUUUGGAUUGAGUUUCCUAUUAUAUGAGACAAAAGCUGUUUACAUCGCAAAAUAUUUAUUCCCAAAUGUUUGUUCCUUAUAGGUAUAUGCUGAUUUAUUUUUGCGGUUUCAUUAAAAUUUAAUAUUCGAAUAUUCAUGUGGCAUGUAUUUCUUUCCGUUCAUUUUCCUUACAAUUAGUUUGGCACUUAAUAUUAAUUUUUCUUAUUUUUUCAUGUACACUCAGGAGUGUGUUUGGAGUCUCAUGGCAUGAUUCCAUCUCUGUUCAAAUCAGACAAGCGAGCAAAUUGCAUUACGCAUCUCCUUCUAGAAGUCUUGUGCCUCCUUCCCCCUUUUCAAGCUUCUCUUCUUCCGUAGAAACCUAUUUCUUUUCUUUAUUUAAUAUUUCGUGCACUAUUAUUUAAAAGUUGUGUUUUUAUAUGUUCUUAUGUGAUUUUGUGUAGCGAAUUUUUAUCGUUCCCUCUUCGCCCGUUAGAUUUUAGACUUAGCAUAAUCACCAAACUUCGACAUUUAACUUACAUCAUUAAAAGUUUUAAAAUUUGUAGUUUAAAAGAUAUCUUUAGAAUAAUGACCAAGUUUGUUAGAAUCCUUUUAAUACUUCUUUAAUACGAAAUGGUAGCUUAUCUUUAGAAUAAUGUUAGUUUCUUAUUAGGUAAUAAUUUGGAAAUCCUUUAAAUAUAAAUUUGUGGUAGAUAGGCAUAUUAUUACUUAUUUGGAAAACCGGCUUUACUAAUUUUAGAUACGGCAAAUCAAAGUUUAUUUUUAAUAAAAAAUGACAUUUCGCAAGUCCCUUUUAAGUAUUCCUAAUAACAAUAAAAAAUAUUUUAUCGGAAUAAAUAAUAAAUUCUUAAGUCAUUAUAUAUUUAAACAACUAUAUAAUUUACUGUAACGCCUCGAUUUUCUGAACUGAAACGCUACACGGUGCCCAUGACCCCGAAGGACCACAAACUAACCCAUGACUUAUAUCUAUACUUGAGCACUAAAUAACCAUACUGUGAAAUAUGCGAAAACAUAAUACUGUAAGGCCAUAAGGAUCAAAUCUGAAUAAACAUCUGAUAAAAUAAUAUCUAAAAAUGGUAUAACAAUACCAACAUAAAUCUGAAAUAAUUCUCUAACAUGCUGUAGACUGAAAACCCCUAAACUGAAAUAAAUAAGGAGUUGAGGGGACAUGUUCCCAACUAACUCCGUCUACUGAAAUAAACUGAAAACUGAAAUAUUGAUAUGAAUAAUAACAUAAUUGAACUCAAAGGAUGAGGACUCACUAUUAAUUACUGCUUCUAGCUGACUCUGAAAUUGCUAAGGGAGCUCUGGAUCCCAUGCAUCCAAACCUAUGGUGUAAGACACCAUAGCGCGAGAAAAGUAUGCGUUAGUACUUUGAAUGUACUAGUUUGCAAGUGAGGAAGGGUGAAUGCAUGGGGUUCAUAUGUAUGAACAAUACUGACUAACAUGAACGUGAGAAUACAUGCAUGAAUACAUAGUAACUGUAACUGAAACUGUACUAGUACUGGAUACUGAAUUCUGUGUACUGAUUUACUUACAUCUGAGUUUACUGAAUAAAAAGGAACUGAUGUUAUAUUAAUGAUAAAGAAAAAGACUGUUUCUGAUAGUUCUGAUUAUGAAGAAUUGAUCUGAUUAACCGUAUAUAAUAGUCCUAAAACUGAGUUCGUGAUAACAUGACUACCGAGUAUGAAUACUGAUGACAUGUAUUUACUGAUAACUGAAUUCUGAUAACUGAUAACAUGAGUUCUGAUAACAGAUAGCAUGAAUGACUGUAUCUGACAGUCCUGGAUCUGAUGGAACUAGUUGAGUUACGUACUGUAUCUGAGUUGACUGUAUCUGUCAGUCCUGAUAUCCUGAAGAACUAUCUGAGUUCUUUUACUGAGACUGAUACUAAAACUAUGGGAAGUAGUUAUCUAAUCGACAUGCCCCAAAUACGCUAUAAUAGCUAAGUUGGGGUCCAAUCUUUGCCCUGAUUGGAAGGGUGUCAAUACUGCGCCCCUGGUAAGGACAAGCUGUGAGUGACCCUCAUGUGGCAGGUACUCUAAUGAGAACGGUGGGAAACCUCAUCUGACAGGUCAAGCCACCUCAUCUACCCUAAACUGACAGGUAUUGAUGUCUCAACCUAUGAAGGCUACAUGGUUCUGGAAUGCAAGGACUGCUUCUAAGAAUCACACCCUGUACUGGCAGGUGAGAUCCCAUCCUUGGGUUCGCUAGAUUCAGCCAACUGAAUGACAUUGAACUGAUUAUACUGAACUGAUUUCCUAGUUCAUACUAGAAUUAACUCAACUGUUACUGAUUGUUCUGUUUAACUGAACUGAACAUGGACUGAUUUUAUUGAGUUCCAAUGACUAGCGAAACACUACUGAAUUUUGUUAACUAACUAAAUGCUACUGAGUUCUAUUAGCUGAUUGAGUUUACUGAUGUCUGAACUUAACACAGAACUAAACUGUACUGAUACUGAGAUUUACUUAAUUCCAUAGACUGGCGGAAUAUUACAGAGAUUAUGUAGAUUACUGAGUACUGAGUAAAACUGAACUGAUACUGCCUUUACAUGAGUUUUCCUAACUCAUGAGACUGACUAAAGUCUACUGAACAUGGCUUGACUGAGAGUAUCGUGAAAAUAUGACAUGGCUAUAGGCACCAAGCUAUAUUUUUUGGGUACAAGUACCCCCAGGACUCGAUGAAAGGAAACUGACACAUCAUGAAAAUUCAUGAUCAUAGGAUUAAAGAUCCACAAUUCAUAAUACCAUAAGUUGGGGAUUUCAUGAAAGCACUUGAUAAGUAUAAUCUUGUACAUGAAUAGGAAUGUAUCCUAACAUAUCAUAAUUUCACAAUUUUAAUUUUACUUGCAUGACAUGAACUUGUAUAAAUGAUAACAUAAUGUAGUUUCAUUACUUAACUUUCAUGAACCAUUUGUCAAACACCUGCAAGACAUAGCAUCAACAUGGAAAUCAUUUAGAUCAUGUAGUAUUAACAUGAAUUCAUUAUUUAGAUCACCAAUGGAUCACAAGGCACAAUUCAUUCACUUGAACAUUUUCACAAACACAUGAAAGACAUGAUUUUAUACUUAGGCAUGUAUAACAUGCUCCCAAUUCAUGACCAUAACCACCAAUUCACAUCUCAAGGUUUUCAACAUAUGAUGGUCAUGAUUCAACACACAUGGGAAGCAUAGAUAUUUCAUUCAUCAAUUGACAUAUAUCAAUAUUAUGGGUAUAACAUCCAACUUGCGAAUUCCAAGAACUCAAUAUAAAUCUCAUAUGAAUAAUACCACAAAUAAAUUAGUUUUCAUGAUUCUUGAAAUAACUCAUGGAAUUAAAACUCAAUUUAACACCAACAACAUGAUUAUAAACAUCCCACAACAAAAUAUUCAUGAUACAUAACUUAAAACUUGAUUCUUAAGCUCCAUGAAUGAAAAAAAUCCAUGAAUGAACACUAUGCAUACCUUAGAUUGAUUAUCCGUGAAAGUUAACAGUGAAAUUGGCUUGAAUCUUGAAACCCCCAAUUGAACCCUUACUUGUUCUUGAUAAUUUUUGAGAGAAUUUAAAAAAAAAAGAGUA